UUCGGAGUUAGGGCGGAUAUUAUGUUUGAGGUCAUUCGUGAGAAUUAGUUGUACGAUGCUGGUUGCACGGAAUAAAGUCCCUAAAGUAAUGUAGGGAUUCAGACUAAUAGUAAGAAUCGAGAGCACCGCGCGUAGAUUAUCGAAGCUUCGUGCAGUUUUUCACAAUUCAUCCCUUUGAUCAAGGUGAUCAUAGUCGUGAACGGAGAUUUUUUUAAACUGAUUCCCAGUGUACCAACCUGUCUGACAAUAAGAAUAUAUAUAUAUAUAGUGCAGUAAAAGCCUAUUGUUUAAAUUGAUGAAAUUAUUCUACUCUGGUUAACUUCUUUAAACGCUCUCGAAUCUCACCAGUUGCAACCUUCACAACACUCGUUCACGGAGGUACAGUUUUUGAAUAUACGUAAAUUAAUUUAUCCUUCUGUGUCAAAUCGUUAUAAUGGUAAAAGACAAAAAGUAACUGAAAGAUAAAAUAAAUGCAAAUUUUUAUAUUUAUCGUAUGGUAUGAAAUUGAUACAAGGGACGAAUUAAGGUUAACAAAAUUCGAUUAUAGUCGAAGGAGGCAAUGGAAACGUUUGAUUCUUCGUUGUUUGAAAGAUGUCCCGUGCAUAAGAUGCUACACGAGGAGAAGAAUCGAUAAAUAAAAACGGAAAUUUGUUACGAUGUACAAAAUUUUUUAAGUGACAUACAUAUGUUAUCAAGAGGAAAUGGCUAUGUUGCUCACGACUCGUCACUGGGGGUCAGACGAAUCAUUUAGUUGCUUUAGCAAGACAUUCGUGAGCAAAUUCACAAAAUCAGAAGAAAAGCCGAACAAUGACAAGUCAGUUUCGGCGUCCGAUCAUCUGCCUGAAGAGAUUUCUCGGAAACAGCCAGCGAAACGCAAUGCGUUGAAUGUUGCAUCGAAAAUUGCAAAAUCGAAAACGACUAAGGCCUACAAUGACAUCGUCUUGGAAUCUAGUCACGUAAAAGCAUCAGCACUUCUAUACGAGAUAACGGAUCGCACUAAUCAGUUAGCCCAACCACGCGUUCGAACCAUUGAAGAAAAGCUGUCUCAGACACGGCCGAAUUCAACACAGAUUCCGAAAGCAUCGUCACGUAUUAUUGAACUUUCUAAGCCACGGAUCCCUUAUCGGUAUCCCCCUAAACCAAUUGGAUACGUUACGCCUGGUGCUCUCACGGCCGUCGCCACUCAGCGUAUAAUUGAAUUAUCGAAACCAAAAAAGAAGCGGAGAUCGAAAGUGUCGAGCAAAAGAAAAUCAAAAUUGCAUAAUGAAAAGUCACGAAGUUACGUAAGGCGCGGUAAAAAGAAGUUGGACCAUAAAUACACUGCGUUGCUUCGUCAUAAGAAUGAUCGAAAAAUGAGGAGCAAGAAGAGACAAUUGAAAACUUCAAACUCUGACAGGACCAUUAUUAUGGUUGGCUUGAAAUUGAAGGAUGAUAAGAGAACUCGUCGACAUUCCUGACUACUGAGAACGAAGCGUGAUGUUUUCUCACUGUCGUUCGCAGUUUCAUAACACAGUCGCUGUUUCUAAUUGAAUAACUCUAUAAAUUUUGUAUAGUAC